AGUCAUGUGAUAAGCACAAAGCGAAUUAUUCUUUCGCCUUUUACUAAAGAAUACCGUGUGUUUGUCACUACAAGUGGCAUACGUCUAUUUUUGGAAGAGCCUUUGAUAAAAGGCUCU